GCACAAUGGAAGCCCUUGUGCCUUAAGCUGGGUGCCCGUUAUGGCUGUUCCCAACUCUGUGUGAGUGUCCUCUCUCCAACCUCCCACCGGGUCUCUACUUCAGCAUUUUAUUUGUGGCAAUCAAGGAAAUAACAUGAAUAAAGUGCUAAUAAGCUCUGAAAUGCUCGCCAAAUGUUUAUCAUUUAAAAAGGGAGAUUUGGCAACACAGUUUAAUGCCACAUAAACGUCGAUCAGUUUUGCCCAUCACCAUUGGAAAUUGUGACAUUCAAAAUGCCUGCUAAUGUUUCCAUUUACUAAUCUUUUUGCUAAUAAGCUACUUCACAUAAUCAACAUUCCCAGAUAUUAAGAUCUGCUAUCAAGACAUGCCGACACUUUCCUUCUCAUUCAGGGUUGGGUAGGAUGCCCCCUGAGAGGCACCGAAGGGUGAUUGAACGACUCAGAGGUGGAAUGCGGAAUGUAAUCUAGUGGCACUGAAAAGUGGUGCUGUCAGAAAUUACAUCCAACUUUCUAAUGCAGCUUAAAUGAUGUUGAAUUAGCUGCUGUAGUGGCAUUAUGUUAUGUCUUAACAUUGCUGUAAUGAAUCUGACCAGGAAGGAAGUCCCACCUAUGGAGAGCAAUAGUAACAAAAAGGUCCAAUAGGAUUUGUGAGCUAUGUUUUGGAAAUGAUAAAGACAACAUGUUUUAUAAAUGUAAAGAAAUUUCUGGUCACCUUUGUAGCUUAUCUGAGAAAACUGGGCACAUAAUUUAUAGCCUGGAUUGCCAUUUGAAGUAAAACGCAGUCAGAUUGCAAGAACUGAGAUUUGAGCCAUAGAACUGAUAACAGAGUUGAUGGAGCCCCAAGUGAAGACAUGCAAAUUGAUGGACGUGGAUUUCCUGCAUUUAGAUUUCCAAGAUGAGCAACAAGAAAGAACCCUCUGGAAUCUCAAAAUAGAUAAAUCAAAAAGCCUAGCCUCAGUGAUUUAAGGAGUUCAGUAAACUGACCUAUAAAUAAAGCCAGCUGAAAGAAGUUUGGAACA
rnacentral:lncRNA from 1 species